AUUGAACGCUGGCGGCAGGCCUAACACAUGCAAGUCGAACGGUAGCAGAGAGAGGCCUGCUUCUUUCCGGAGGCGAGGCGCGGGCGUGUGAGAUGUAUGGGGGACUCCCUGUUGGCGGGGGGUAAAUAGUAGGAACGCUUACUAAAACAGCACAACGGAGCAAGGGGUGAAAGCAGGGGAUUUUGGGCCCUUGCGCGAUGGAAUGACCCGAUGUCGGAUUAGCUAGUUGGGGGGGUAAAGGCCCACCGAGGCGACGAUCCCUAGCUGGUCUGAGAGGAUGACCAGCCACACUGGAACUGAGACACGGUCCAGACUCCUACGGGAGGCAGCAGUGGGGAAUAUUGGACAAUGGGCGCAAGCCUGAUCCAGCCAUGCCGCGUGUGUGAAGAAGGCCUUCGGGUUGUAAAGCACUUUCGGUGGGGAGGAAGGGAAGCAAGUUAAUACCUCGCUGUUUUGACGUUACCCACAGAAUAAGCACCGGCUAACUCCGUG
rnacentral:rRNA from 1 species